GACGAACGCUGGCGGCGUGCUUAACACAUGCAAGUCGAACGGAAAGGCCCUGCUUGCAGGGUACUCGAGUGGCGAACGGGUGAGUAACACGUGGGUGAUCUGCCCUGCACUUCGGGAUAAGCCUGGGAAACUGGGUCUAAUACCGGAUAGGAGCCAUUUUUAGUGUGAUGGUUGGAAAGUUUUUUCGGUGUAGGAUGAGCUCGCGGCCUAUCAGCUUGUUGGUGGGGUAAUGGCCUACCAAGGCGGCGACGGGUAGCCGGCCUGAGAGGGUGGACGGCCACAUUGGGACUGGGAAACGGCCCAGACUCCUACGGGAGGCAGCAGUGGGGAAUAUUGCACAAUGGGCGCAAGCCUGAUGCAGCGAAGCCGCGUGGGGGAUGACGGCCUUCGGGUUGUAAACUCCUUUCGCUAGGGACGAAGCUUUUUGUGACGGUACCUAGAUAAGAAGCACCGGCUAACUACGUG
rnacentral:rRNA from 1 species